rnacentral:rRNA from 1 species
AGGAAUAUUGGUCAAUGGGCGAGAGCCUGAACCAGCCAAGUAGCGUGCAGGAUGACGGCCCUAUGGGUUGUAAACUGCUUUUAUAAGGGAAUAAAGUGAGUCUCGUGAGACUUUUUGCAUGUACCUUAUGAAUAAGGACCGGCUAAUUCCGUGCCAGCAGCCGCGGUAAUACGGAAGGUCCGGGCGUUAUCCGGAUUUAUUGGGUUUAAAGGGAGCGUAGGCCGGAGAUUAAGCGUGUUGUGAAAUGUAGACGCUCAACGUCUGCACUGCAGCGCGAACUGGUUUCCUUGAGUACGCACAAAGUGGGCGGAAUUCGUGGUGUAGCGGUGAAAUGCUUAGAUAUCACGAAGAACUCCGAUUGCGAAGGCAGCUCACUGGAGCGCAACUGACGCUGAAGCUCGAAAGUGCGGGUAUCGAACAGGAUUAGAUACCCUGGUAGUCCGCACGGUAAACGAUGGAUGCCCGCUGUUGGCCUGAAUAGGUCAGCGGCCAAGCGAAAGCAUUAAGCAUCCCACCUGGGGAGUACGCCGGCAACGGUGAAACUCAAAGGAAUUGACGGGGGCCCGCACAAGCGGAGGAACAUGUGGUUUAAUUCGAUGAUACGCGAGGAACCUUACCCGGGCUUGAAUUGCAGAGGAAGGAUUUGGAGACAAUGACGCCCUUCGGGGCCUCUGUGAAGGUGCUGCAUGGUUGUCGUCAGCUCGUGCCGUGAGGUGUCGGCUUAAGUGCCAUAACGAGCGCAACCCCUCUCCUUAGUUGCCAUCAGGUCAUGCUGGGCACUCUGGGGACACUGCCACCGUAAGGUGUGAGGAAGGUGGGGAUGACGUCAAAUCAGCACGGCCCUUACGUCCGGGGCUACACACGUGUUACAAUGGCAGGUACAGAGAGACGGUCCCUUGCAAAAGGGAUCAAAUCCUCAAAGCCUGUCUCAGUUCGGACUGGGGUCUGCAACCCGACCCCACGAAGCUGGAUUCGCUAGUAAUCGCGCAUCAGCCAUGGCGCGGUGAAUACGUUCCCG